UACAGAGGGUGCGAGCGUUAAUCGGAAUUACUGGGCGUAAAGGGCGCGUAGGCGGUUGUAUGAGUGUGAUGUGAAAGCCCCGGGCUUAACCUGGGAAGGGCAUCGCAAACGAUACGACUGGAGUAUAAGAGAGGGUGGCGGAAUUUCCGGUGUAGCGGUGAAAUGCGUAGAGAUCGGAAGGAACGUCAAUGGCGAAGGCAGCCACCUGGCUUAAUACUGACGCUGAGGCGCGAAAGCGUGGGGAGCGAACAGG
rnacentral:rRNA from 1 species